rnacentral:rRNA from 1 species
GCUAAGUGCGGGCGAGAGGCGGCGGUGAUAGGAGGGGUGCGAUGGUGUGCCGGAUUGAGUGGGCGUAAAGAGGUCGUAGGUGGUUUGUUGCGUCGGGAGUGAAAACACACAGCUGAGCUGGGUGCUUGCUUUCGAUACGGGCAGACUUGAGGGAUUUAGGGGAGAACGGAAUUCCUGGUGGAGCGGUGGAAUGCGCAGAUAUCAGGAGGAACACCGGUGGCGAAGGCGGUUCUCUGGACAUUUCCUGACGCUGAGGAGCGAAAGCGUGGGGAGCAAACAGGCUUAGAUACCCUUGUAGUC